AUACGUAGGGGGCGAGCGUUGUCCGGAAUGAUUGGGCGUAAAGGGCGCGUAGGCGGCUUUGCAAGUCAGUAGUGGAAGUCCAUUUUUCAAGGAUGGAGGUGCUACAGAAACUGCGGAGCUUGAGUGCAGGAGAGGUUAUCGGAAUUCCCGGUGUAGCGGUGAAAUGCGUAGAGAUCGGGAGGAACACCAGUGGCGAAGGCGCCUUCCUGGCACAAUACUGACGCUCAUGUGCGAAAGCUAGGGUAGCGAACGGGAUUAGAUACCCCGGUAGUCCUAGCCGUAAACGAUGGAUACUAGGUGUGGGUGUCGCAGGGCAUCCGUGCCGCAGCUAACGCGUUAAGUAUCCCGCCUGGGGACUACGGUCGCAAGACUGAAACUCAAAUGAAUUGACGGGG
rnacentral:rRNA from 1 species